GGACCUUACUCAGAAAGCUUUACUCAAUGAUAGGUUGCCUGUAGCCAUCCCAUGUCUCUGAUCUACCAGCUUGGGAAACCUGUGAAGAGGUGGAUUUUUCAUGAAUUUUGUGGUUGGCCUUGGGGGAUGAUAAGAUUUAGAGCCAGAAGGGACCCCCCAGGUGGACUUAUCGUAGGAUAAUAACUCAGGAGUCGCAGGAGCUCUGAAAGGUCUUUUAGUCAAAGUCCUACAUUUUACAGAUGAGGAAACUGAGGCCCAGAACAUUCCCAUGACUUUCCUGAGAUCCCAUCAAUGGCCAUUUCUACACAAAUACAGUUUUUGUAGGAAAUCUUCCUUAGGUUUUCUGAAACCCUCAAAUUCAGUGGUUUGUCUCUUGGGUGUGACUGGGUGCAUGUCUCCCUCACUUCCUGUAGAGUAACGUUGCGACACCCCUUCCUGCUUUCUCACCAAUUGAAGAAAAAUAUACCUCAUCAGGGCCUGGAGAGGAUGCUCUAACCCGGGCAUGCUCUCCAGCUUCUCCUGGCAUGGAUUUCUGGGGGCAACUGAGAUACUCAGCAGGAAGACUAGCUGAUGGCAGACUUCAGAAGGGAAAGCUCACCCAACUGCUUGGCCAACAGCCCCCAGGAGCCUCUGCCCUUCAGCGGCUGCUUCCCUAUCUGGCACCCCUUCAGUGCUGUGGCCAACAGUGCUCCUUGAGCUUCUUGGGAAGGACCGCAUCUGUGACUCCAUCCUGCUGGCCCUGGCUUGCCUCUUCAUCUUGGUCCCUCCACUGCUCUCUUAGUCCCCCUGUCCGGUUCAGUCCAACCAGUCCAGUUCAACCAAUCAGCAGGAGAAACCUACUGAGUAAUGCUCUGCUGCCGUGGCAGGAGCAAACAAUUCGAAUGACAAGAUCAUAUGAGCAGGGAAGAAACCAGUUCAAGUUUCCUGUUGCACCCUCCAGCCCUUGGCAGCUAACCUUCGGCUUCCCAAACAGCAGGUUCUAUUGGUGCUUGUCAAUCUGGGAACUAGGUCAACUCAACACUAAACUCAAUCCUUUGGGACUGCAUGGGAUAGUCCUUUUCUAUCAGAGCAUCACAACCUGGGUCCAGGAGUGUCCUAUUCUAAAAGAAGAAACCAAAAUGCAGGAUGGAAUACUGAAAGCUCUACAAAAGAGAGGACCAUGGGUAAAAGGAGAGAAAUCAGAGUUCCACAUUUUAUAUUCAGGGGAAAAAGCCGAGGAAUGAGGAUGGGC
rnacentral:lncRNA from 1 species